UGGGGAAUAUUGGACAAUGGGGGCAACCCUGAUCCAGCGAUGCCGCGUGAGUGAAGAAGGCCUUCGGGUCGUAAAGCUCUUUAGGUUGGGAAGAAGUUUGUGGGAAGAAUGCUCCUGCAAGUUGACGGUACCGACAGAAUAAGCACCGGCAAACUCUGUGCCAGCAGCCGCGGUAAUACAGAGGGUGCUAGCGUUAAUCGGAAUUACUGGGCGUAAAGGGCGCGUAGGCGGUGAGAUAUGUGUGGUGUGAAAGCCCUGGGCUUAACCUAGGAAGAGCAUCGCAAACUGUCUUGCUGGAGUAUAUGAGAGGGUGGCGGAAUUUCCGGUGUAGCGGUGAAAUGCGUAGAGAUCGGAAGGAACGUCGAUGGCGAAGGCAGCCACCUGGCAUAAUACUGACGCUGAGGCGCGAAAGCGUGGGGAGCGAACAG
rnacentral:rRNA from 1 species